GGAGGAUUAGCUCAGCUGGGAGAGCACCUGCCUUACAAGCAGGGGGUCGGCGGUUCGAAUCUGCCCCCCUCCACCA
rnacentral:tRNA from 1 species